rnacentral:rRNA from 1 species
UACGAAGGGUGCAAGCGUUACUCGGAAUUACUGGGCGUAAAGCGUACGUAGGCGGCUUUGCAAGUUAGAGGUGAAAGCCCGGGGCUCAACCCCGGAAUUGCCUUUAAGACUGCAUCGCUCGAAUCCAGGAGAGGUGAGUGGAAUUCCGAGUGUAGAGGUGAAAUUCGUAGAUAUUCGGAAGAACACCAGUGGCGAAGGCGGCUCACUGGACUGGUAUUGACGCUGAGGUGCGAAAGCGUGGGGAGCAAACAGG